UUUUAAAGAAAAUCAGAAGGAUAACUAUUGAUUUCUUUGUCAAAUUCGAUCUACUAAACAGAUAUUCCAGAUAAAA
rnacentral:snoRNA from 1 species